CGUACACUCCUGCGGGAGGCAGCAGUGGGGAAUAUUGCACAAUGGGCGCAAGCCUGAUGCAGCCAUGCCGCGUGUAUGAAGAAGGCCUUCGGGUUGUAAAGUACUUUCAGCGGGGAGGAAGGCGAUAAGGUUAAUAACCUUGUUGAUUGACGUUACCCGCAGAAGAAGCACCGGCUAACUCCGUGCCAGCAGCCGCGGUAAUACGGAGGGUGCAAGCGUUAAUCGGAAUUACUGGGCGUAAAGCGCACGCAGGCGGUCUGUCAAGUCGGAUGUGAAAUCCCCGGGCUCAACCUGGGAACUGCAUUCGAAACUGGCAGGCUAGAGUCUUGUAGAGGGGGGUAGAAUUCCAGGUGUAGCGGUGAAAUGCGUAGAGAUCUGGAGGAAUACCGGUGGCGAAGGCGGCCCCCUGGACAAAGACUGACGCUCAGGUGCGAAAGCGUGGGGAGCAAACAGGAUGAGAUACCCUGGUAGUCCCAUGA
rnacentral:rRNA from 1 species